GUGAUCCAUGAGACAUGCAUAAUCAAAGUAAUUGAAGGUGUAGCAAGACAUAUAUUCUCGUUUUCUUAACAUAGCUUGCAAACCAUCCAUCCGUAAAGAUAAAUAAUCGGUCGGGACUGUGUAAUACUUUCUGAUCUUAGCCAUUAGCUGAUGCAAAGCACGGACUUCCCACUUCUCUAAAAGUGGUAUAUUUUCAGGAUUCUUAUGUCGUAAGGCUCUAAGGACUCGAAGUUCUGCAGCCACCAGAUAAGAAUUUUCGGGCAGAGGCUCAUAUAAAUCAAGAUCAAUUUUGUCAGGCUUUUGACGAUUCAAACCAGCAUGCUCUGCUCCAGCAAAAAGAUUGCUUGCAGAAAGCUUAAACCAAUGAGGGAACAAGGCACUGUUUAUGUCUACCAUUGGCGGAGUGCUAACACACAAAUCUUUCCUCCACUGUCCGUUCAUAAUAUAGGGAGAUCCGGUCGGAAUCCUUCCAGAUUUCGAAUAAUUUAAGUACAGAACAUCUGGAUAAAACGUUCUCCAUAGAUCGUACUCAUAUCUCGUAAACGAAGUAGUUGGCUCUACAAUCCGAAGAGAAAGUAUCCUUCGUAGUAUGCUAAUUUCUUUAUUUUCGUCAAUUAGAUAGUAGGCCAUACGCUUCAGUACUUCAUUUUUGUGUACUUCAGCACGAGAAUGAGUUCCACAAAACUCAUAAAUUUCAUUGGCAGAGUAUUUAAAGGAUAGCAUAUUGUGAAAAUCUUUGAAUGCCUCCUCUCUCUCUAUUAAUUCCUCUUCUGAAGGAGCGCAAUGAAUUUCAAACCCAAAAUGUAAUAAAAUGUUGUUUCUCGUUGCUUCAUAAUCUAAAACAGAACCGUAUAUAACACGACCUAUGCCGUCUGAAAAGACUUCGUAUAUGCUACCAGAUCUCUUAAGAGGUUUAGAUAUAAAUAUGUUUUGGCAUGCGUAUUUGCUAAAAUAGUCACACCUUUUUUCGUAAAUUUCACCGGGUCGUGGAAACGGG